GAUCAUGGCUCAGGAUGAACGCUAGCUACAGGCUUAACACAUGCAAGUCGAGGGGCAGCAUUUUAGUUUGCUUGCAAACUAAAGAUGGCGACCGGCGCACGGGUGAGUAACACGUAUCCAACCUGCCGAUAACUCGGGGAUAGCCUUUCGAAAGAAAGAUUAAUAUCCGAUGGCAUAAUUAGACCGCAUGGUCUUAUUAUUAAAGAAUUUCGGUUAUCGAUGGGGAUGCGUUCCAUUAGA
rnacentral:rRNA from 1 species